GAGCCAGCUUCCACCCGAACACGAAGGCUAUGGAGAUGGCAGCAACCAGCGUCACCAUGGCACUCAGCAUCUGACCUAGUCUAAGUCCGGCUGCCUACACACAUCGUCAAACUGCUUCUGUCAUUCUCUAAACUUACGUUAAGGGUAACCGAUGUAACUCACCCCCUUGAUGAGUGGUGCGUCUCGAGCAAGCCGUGAUAUGAGAUGACCGCUAGAGUGUCGUGCCGAGUCGAACCAGCCGACAGAUUGGCGCAAGAUAUUGUGAAAGGCCAUUACCCGCAGUCGCAUCACCAACCGUUCCACUGCCAAUGUCAUAGUCACUAUCUGCACCACACAAGAGCAUUGUAGUAACCAUCUUAACUAAAUGACUAUGUACCAAUUGUACAAUAUGAAAUAAAGUGAAAUUUGGUUCA